rnacentral:rRNA from 1 species
GAUGACGGCUUGCGCCUGGAUUGGUUUUUGUCGCCAACGAGUGGGGGAGACGUGAGUGUAACACGUGUAAUAACCUGACCAAAGCAGGAGAUAACACCUGGCAACUGAUGCUAAUACCGUAUAACGUAGAAAACCGCCUGGUUUUCUUUUAAAUGAUGGCUCUGCUAUCCUUCUGGAUGGACCCGCGGCGCUUUAGCUGGUUGGUGAGGUAACGGCUCCCAGGCGAUGAUGCGUAGCCGACCUGAAAGGGGAAUCGGCCACAUUGGGACUGAGACACGGCCAUAACUCCUACGGGAGGCAGCAGUAGGGAAUCUUCCACAAUGGACGCAAGUCUGAUGGAGCACACCCGCGUGAGUGAAGAAGGGUUUCGGUUCGUAAAGCUCUGUUGUUAAAGAAGAACGUGGGUGAAAGUAACUGUUCACCCUUUGACGGUAUUUAACCAAAAAGCCACGGGCUAACUACUUGCCAGCAGCCGCGGGUAAUACGUAGGGUGGCAAGCGUUAUCCGGGAUUUAUUGGGGCGUAAAGCGAGCGCAGGCGGGUCUUUUUAAGUCUAAUGUGAAAGCCUUUCGGCUCAACCGGAAGAAAGUGCAUUGGAAACUGGGAAGACUUGAGUGCAGAAGAGGACAGUGGAACUCCAUGUGUAGCGGUGGAAUGCGUAGAUAUAUGGAAGAACACCAGUUGGCGAAGGCGGCUGUCCUGGUCUGUAACUGACG